rnacentral:rRNA from 1 species
CCCUUAGAUGUCCGGGGCUGCACGCGCGCUACACUGAAGGAAUCAGCGUGCUAAAACCAUUGUCGAAAGGCAUUGGUAAACCCAUUAAAAUCCUACGUGACUGGGAUCGGGAAUUGCAAUUAUUUCCCUUGAACGAGGAAUUCCCAGUAAGUGUGGGUCAUAAGCUCGCGUUGAUUACGUCCCUGCCCUUUGUACACACCGCCCGUCGCUGCCCGGGACUGAGCCGUUUCGAGAAAAGCGGGGACUGCUGCUGUCGGGGCUUUCGGGCCUUGGCUUCGGUGGAAACCGCUUUAAUCGCAGUGGCUUGAACCGGGCAAAAGUCGUAACA